UGAGUGUGUCCUUUGCUGUGCAGAUGCUUAUCUGGCCAGGGAAAGGGAGUCUUCAUCUGAUUGGUGUUGGGAGAGGGAUCAGCUGUGGGCCUGAACACCCUACGUGUUCUUUCUAUGUUCGCUGUGAAUAGGAGACGCUAAGUGCCCCUUACCAGGCCGCUCUCCUGGACGGCACUUGCAGCAGCAGCCUCGGGGGAGGAGACAGCAGCUCCCCCGUAGGAAGAGCUGGCUCACCGCCACACACUACUAAAGAAGUGAGCAGCCCUGCACAUUCAGGUUCACCUUGGCCACCGGCACUGUCCCCGUGGGACCUGGGGGGAAGUGGUGCUGGUGUGAGCAUCACGAUGACACCUUUGCUCCUACCUCUGCGUGAGAAAUAAAGCUGUUUGUCUCUGA